AUGGCCGUGCCAUGCGUUCGCCUCGCCCUCCUCCUCUGUUUGCUGAUCCCAGCCACCGCCGCCUCACCUCGGAGCCGGAGCCCACGCAAAUCCCCAGCCAGAGCGUCCGCGUCGCGGCCGACCGCCUUCUUCGAGGUGGACCGCCCGCCACGCCCACGCGGCGGCUCCGGCCGGUGCUCCACGCUCCUGCUGUCCGCCUCCUUCGCCUCCACCUUCGACAAGCCCCCCGCCACCGCCGCCUACUCCCCGCCGCGCUGCCUCGUCAAGGCGGGCGGCCGCGCCUCGGCCAUCUCCCUCGCGGUGCUCGAGUGGCGCGCCGCCUGCCAGGGAGCCCAGCUCGACAGGAUCUUCGGCGUCUGGCUCGCCGGCGCCGAGCUCCUCCGCGGCAGCACCGCCGCGCCGCCGCCCAACGGCAUCGUCUGGUCCGUCUCCAAGGACGUCACCAAGUACGCGUCCCUCCUCGCCGCCGCCGGCAACUCCACCUUCGCCGUCUACCUCGGCAACCUCGUCAACACCACGCUCACCGGCGUGUACCAUGCCAACGUCACGCUCCACCUCUACCUCCGCCGCACGCCGACGACCAAGCCGCCGCCCGCCACGGCCCCCGCCGACCUCAUCGUCCCGAUGGCGCGAGCCCUCCCUCCCAACGGCGGGCUGUGGUUCCCGAUCCAGAGCGCCGCCGACGUCGCGUCCAAGAGCGUCGCGAUGCCAUCCAACACCUACCGCGCGGUCCUCGAACUCUACGUCUCGUUCCAUGAAGACGACGAGUUAUGGUACAAGAACGAAACCCGGGUACCAGAACGGCCCGUUCCGCGAGGUCACCGCUCGCGUCGACGGUGUCCUCGCCGGCUCCGUCUGCCCGUUCCCCGUCAUCUACCCCGGCGGCAUCUACCCCCUCCUAUGGAGGCCGAUCGCCCCCAUCGGCUCCUUCAACCUCCCGACGUACGACAUCGACCUGACUCCUUUUCUCGGCAAGCUGCUGGACGGCAAGGCGCACGAGUUCGCGUUCGCCGUGACCAACGCCGUGGGCGUGUGGUACGUCAACGCCAACCUCCACCUCUGGCUGGACCCCGAGGGCACCGCGACGACGGCGGGCCUCGUGAGCUACGUCGCGCCGCCGGCGAACACGACGUCGUCCAAGUCUGCCGACCCCGUCGACACCCACUACCACGCGACGGCGAACCGGCUCGUCUCCUCCACCGGGUGGGUGAAGUCAUCGUACGGGAACAUAACGACCAACGCCACGCGCACGUUCGCCCUCGAGUACCUCCUCACCUUCGAGACACUGGACCUGACCAUCGUUGCGGACACCGGCGUCGUCGCCACGGACGGCGCCGGCGGCGUCCUGUUCUCGACGCAGACGCACGGGAACUUCCCGCUUGGCUGGGUCUAUCAACAGAAUAG
rnacentral:rRNA from 1 species